ACGAACGCUGGCGGCGUGCUUAACCCAUGCCAGUCGCACGGAAAGGCCCUGCUUUUGUGGGGUGCUCAAGUGGCGAACGGGUGAGUAACACGUGAGUAACCUGCCCUUGACUUUGGGAUAACUUCAGGAAACUGGGGCUAAUACCGGAUAGGAGCUCCUGCUGCAUGGUGGGGGUUGGAAAGUUUCGGCGGUUGGGGAUGGACUCGCGGCUUAUCAGCUUGUUGGUGGGGUAGUGGCUUACCAAGGCUUUGACGGGUAGCCGGCCUGAGAGGGUGACCGGCCACAUUGGGACUGAGAUACGGCCCAGACUCCUACGGGAGGCAGCAGUGGGGAAUAUUGCACAAUGGGCGGAAGCCUGAUGCAGCAACGCCGCGUGCGGGAUGACGGCCUUCGGGUUGUAAACCGCUUUCGCCUGUGACGAAGCGUGAGUGACGGUAAUGGGUAAAGAAGCACCGGCUAACUACGUG
rnacentral:rRNA from 1 species